CGUUUCAAUAAUUGCUAGAACACAUAGAAGAGAGAAGACGACGGAUCCGGAAGGGCUGAGUGACACUCUCGGGCAAUGUGGCCUCAUUCGCGUGUGUUAGGACACCUGCCCAGCGACCGCGGGACACACCUUCUUCUCGGGGCCUGCCCAGGGCCUGUGGACGUCUCCUCACUUUCAGAAGGACUCAGGUCCCCCGAGAUGCGCUCUCCGAUAAUGACACUUGAAUGGGGACCUGUGACCGAGGCCUAUCUGGGAAACCCCUCGAGCCCUCGGAAACCGAGCACUGCGUUUCACCGUGAGGCCGAAGAGGAGGCGAAAGGGAAGUACUUUGAACUGAACGAAAAUGGGAAAAAAUCAUUUCAAAAUGAAAAAAAAAAAAGAAACUAGAAAAAGGAGAGCCAGUCGAUCCCGGAGUGAGAAGACGGGAAGUCACAGGUGACAGGAGACAUUGUGAGACAGGAAACAAAAACAACCGUGAGAAGGUCACAUAAUGGACAAGCAGCAAGAAGAUGCCACGACUUCUUCAGAGAAUCGAAAAUGGGGGGCACGUCCCAACUCCGUGAGGCCGGUGCCAUCCUGAUGCCAGAGCCCGACCCCACAGGGGUACCGGCCGGGCCCUCCGGGGCGGUGUUGCUCGCCUUCCAAGCGAAGUUCCAGUGGAUCAAGCAUGGCAGUGUGUAA